ensembl:lncRNA
GUUCUUAGAAUUGGACACUUUUAACUGCAACUUAAAGCCAGUGAUUAUUUUUAUUAUUAUUGUUUUGGCAACAAAACUAAUUUAAGUGUUGCUUAAUAUGAUAUUACAGUAACACAGAAUGAGACCUCUUCUGCAGUCCAUACUCCACUCCCACAACAGCCAUUUCAUGGUCCAGAAAAACUAGCAGAAGAGCAAACAGACAUGAUACCCAAAAUAAAACGAAAAGAACCACAGACCUCUUCUGCAGGCCACACUCAACUCCCACAGCAACCAGUUCUUGGUCCAGAAGAACCAGAAGAGGAGCUAAGACACAGCGAUGGCAAGGAUCUAGGAUACGGAGUCAUGAUACCCACAAAAAUGGGACAUUGUGAGGAGAGUUGAGGGUGACUCAAAAUUCUGUAAGAGCCUGGCUGUUGUUAUAUGGGGUACCACAGUCCUCAAACAGAGGAGCGUUACUGGCAUGAAAUGCAACGCUAAAAAAGCUGCUGAGGCAAAACCUCCUCUGACUCCUGAAAAGGUGUCAGCUAUCAAAGAAUGUCUGUCUCAGAAGCUGAAGGAAAGAGGCCACACCUCAGAGGAAAUAAAUAAGCGCCUCCUAAGUGUGCGAAAAUACCUGGCUGAGAAGAUCAGUGACAUAAACCGGAUAAAAACUGUCAUUGGUAAGUAUUUACAUAAUUUACACAAACCAGUCGUAAGGGUAAUUUUUUUUUUUUAUUGAGAUUUAUAUAUCAAUAAUAAUAAUAAUAAACAAGCUUUCCAUGGAUGUAUGAUUUGUUAGGAGGACAAUAUUUGGCUGAGAUUCAACUAUUUGAAAAUCUGUAAUCUGAGGGUGCAAAAAAAAAAAAAAAAAAAAAUAUAGAGAAAAAUCGCCUUUAAAGUUGUCCAAAUGAAGUCCAAAGCAAAGCAUAUUAUCAAUCAAAAAAAUACGGUUUGAUAUAUUUACGUUAGGAAAUUUACAAAAAUAUCUUCUUGGAACAUGAUCUUUACUUAAUAUUCUAAUUAUUUUUUUGGCAUAAAAAGAAAAAUAUAUAAUUUUUGACCCAUACAAUGUAUUGUUGGCUAUUUCUACGAAUAUACCUGUGCUACUUUUGUGCUCCAGGGUCACAUUUAUUCACUCACUCAUUACAACAGACGACACUGAAUGGCACAUAAACCAAUGAGAUAUUAAGCAUAUAAUAAAUUAGGAAAACAGAAUAUAUAUAAAGACUGUCUGCUGGCUAGCGUGUUGGUCAGUGUGCAUCAAUUAACCCCUUAACUGUCACCGUCCCACCUGUGGGACACUUGGCGCUCUUUUUUUGUUGUUGUCCUUUUUCUCUAUAAAAACUUUUAGUAAUCAUCAUAAAUUAUAUAUCAUUUGAAAGCUUAGAAGCCCAAGAUUCAUCCUGUGAAAAACCAUUUUUGAAAUCGGUUGCGUUACCAUGGAAAUGGUACUUUAAAAUCUUAUGGCGGUCUCCUCCCCCUUAGUGGGCGGUGUCAAGUGUCAUAUUACAAAAUGCAUUUCGGGCUUUUAGAAUCAAAACUUUUUAUAAUCUUGGCAACAAACAUAUCAUUGGAAAGGUCUGAGUCUCGGGAUUCCAUAUUUGGUGGUUAUUUUGAGUACUGAAGUAAAAUUGACAGCAAAUCUAGGGAAAAAUUCAUUAAACAAAAUUCAAAGGAGUUUUGAUGGCUCCCAGUGGCUGUUUGUGGUAUGACGCCCUAAAUAAAAAUCUCACAGGUGUAAGGGAAACAGGUCAAUUUAGCUCAAAGGGAAUCAUUUAAGAUUUUAAAGGGAAUUUGAACAGAAUCACUGUUUCACGGCUGAUCACUGAAACGGCCAGUGAUUCGUUGAACAGGCCGUAUAACAUCAACUCUGCAAUGGAUAUUAUUAUCCAAAGUAUAGUGAAAACACUAUUAAUUAGCACAGUAACAAGAUCGGCAGUUUAAGACAUUAACUUGUAGGCACAAAACACAAGAUACUUCUCUUUUCAAUAUGAAUAAGGCUUUAUUAGAUAAAUCUAAGACAUAUAAACUAAUCUAACACAAGCACACGCACUUACACAUUCACACAAGUUGCAGGAAGAUAGAAAGUUAGGGAAGAAUGAAUUAAAGAGAAUGAAAAUGUGAAAUCCUAGUUUACAGCAAUAUGUGAAAUUGCAUAGACAUGAACAACCAUUAAUCACUUAAUUAACCCUCGCAUUGAGUUCCUCAGUGAGGUUAAAAAUUAUAUUAGAUUCACCAGUACAGAUCAGAGUCUGGAGGUACGUUACUUGCGUUGCCUGUGUAACGGGGUUACCUUUGUUGUCCUUGAAAAGGGGGUUUCCCGAGGUUGCUGAUUGGCCGGAAGUUCAGUAGUCAUUGAAGUGACGUCUUGGGAAGCCCGUGGUUGGGCGUUGGCUGACGAUGCGGAGUUGUGGGCUGGUUGAAGUUUUAGUCGGGCACUCGAGGUCAGACUCGGAGACACGGCGUUACAAAACUUAACUCAGAACACGAAACUCUCAAACGGAAAAGAAAAAGAAACUAAAGUAAAAAGAACAGAAGUAAAGUUUGACGAGACUAGGUGGUGUUCCUUCUCAUCGUGACUAAGUAGCAGCAGGCGUGCAGACCGAAGCACGCUGGGAACGGCGCUCGAAGAACACUAAAAGUGAUGACUAAAAGCAUGACUAAAAGCUAAAACUACAAGCAAAAGCUAAAAAGCAAAAAUUUGAUGGUGUCCUGAGUAUUUAAACUGGCAUUUUGGCCACACCUCAAAUGUUGUCUUGACCAAUUAGAUAUUGUCUUUGCUCGGGGUGUUGCGAUGUUUGUCCUACCCAUUCAUAAAUCAUAUGUUAUCUUAUCAAUCAUGUGGUCCGAAUUUUCCCGCUCUUGCAGGGUAUAAUUUGGACAUGAUUCCUAUGAUAAGAAUAUGAUACAUUUGACAAAUAACUGAUGGUCAGAAACGUUUCAAGCAAGAUGAUUCUAACACACACAUACUAAACAUGAAUAUGAAUACUUAAACUAUUCAACAGUUAUUAAAAAGACAUACACAAUAAGUGAUUAGAAACAUGAUAGUCAAAUGUGUAGGUUACAUAUUAUGAUAUGGAGUUAAGCAAUGGACUGAUAUUCCUUUAGAUUCCUUCCUCUGUAGAUGAACACAAAAUGAAGAUGAAGACAGUUUCUCUGCUUUUCUUUGACAUAAGGAUGUUCUGUGAAGACCAGAGGUUAAAAGGUCCCCUUAGGAAUUUCAGUCUGGUUCUGCUAGGUGGGGGGAAGUCAAUCCAACGAUCUUGUUUACUCUCAUGGGUUUACAUGUGAUGGUAACGCUGUGCAUCUCUUUGACCAUCAAUCUGGAUUACUUGCUCCAAAUUUGACAAUCUCUUCUCUGAAUUGAAAUUGUCAAUAAUUGUUCUAAUGGUGUUAAUGUUGAAAGCUGUUCUCUGAAAGAGUUGGUUGGUUAUCUUGCUUCUGACUGUGGUGCUAGGAGUUGAUUUACAACAUCUUGUUGCCUUUCUGUGGAAUUCGGGUCCUCGUGUUUCAACCAUGCUCACGAUCGAAUUUUUAAUUUGUCUGGUUCGGGUCUGAUACGCUACACAGGAACCUCAUUUUUUUUUUCAUAUCAAUUUCAAAUUUGGAACAUAACUUAUUUAGACACAAGGCUUUAAUUUUAUACCAAUUUUAGAGUAAAAACCUGUUAUGUAAAAAUAUUUAUAAUAAAUAAAAUAAAAAUUAAUAUAGCGCAUUUUAUUUAUAGUACAUUUAAACUUCUAUAACUUUUUGAUACUUUAAUUUUUUUUUAAAAUUCCACUUUUGCCAAAAUCUGCAAAUUUUCUUCUUUAAAAAUAUAUAUUCCAAAGUGUUCAUAAAUUACAAUAAUUUAAGUUUGGAUAGUGCACUUUAAUGCCUAUUUUAAAAAAAUGGGGGGUGACAGUUAAAGGGUUAAAGCAGCACAUUAAUAUACAACGGUGAUUAAACUGACUUGGAACUACCUGUGCAUUAAAUGGUUUUACUGCAUACCUACCAGCCAAUCAGAAUGGAAAAACUAACAUUAACUAAUGGAUCCUUAUUUUAAAGUGUUACUACAUUUUAAAAUAUGUUCAAGAGUGUUUCACUUAGGUCUGUUAUUGUAGGAACAUUGGCUUUACAUUUCCAUGCUUCUAAACAUGACGCUGAACAGAACGAACUGUGAUUAGUUGUUUUACUUAUGAACAUAAAAUGAGUAAUGGACAAAAGUUCACAGCUGUGAAUAUCUUGAAUCUGCUAAAUGUGCACCCAAAGUGUUGGAUGAAUUUAAGCAUGAUGAUGUUUUGUCAACAACUAAGUUUUUUGCAACUUUUUUGAGAUUGCCAUAUGAAUAUUUAUACUACGGGGCCAUUGAAUGCUUGAAUCUGAUUGGCAGACGAACGUUCUGAGGUGUGCAAUUAUUUUCUGGGUAACACACGGCAAACGUAGUUCCAGGCAGCUCUCUUGACCGCAUUAAAAUUCCAUAUCACUUCACAUAGUUAACUGUAAUAAUGGAAAUUACAGGACUAACAAAAACAACAACAUUUCCGAAAGCAAAUAAACAUGAGAUUUUUUACUAGCGAGGUAAUAAAAGCUCUGUUUAAAGAUGCUGCUGCAGCCUAUUUCACACAAGCUCUCUUUCUCUUUUUCUUUCUCUGUGUGUCUCUGUCUCUCGCUCUCUUUCUAAUAAAUUCAUUAAUAACUGCAUUAGAAUGCUAUCAACGGCUAAUGCCUCUAUUAUCAGCUUUUUAAUGACGUUUUGGAACCAGCAAAAGAGGAGUUGGAUGAGAUGUGGAAGAAAUAAUCCUACUCACAAUAGCCUUUUAAGUACAAAAACCGGACAGAUCCCUUUAAAUAAAUCAUCUGAUCGAUGUCUUGAGGUGUGGUACCCGUAGUAUAAGCGAAAUAAUUGACUUAGGGCCGUUGAAUUAGUAGAAAAAUAAUGCACACCCAAGGAUUAUUUUUAUAAUAAUUCAACAGCCCGUCAUCAAUUAUUCCUUUUAUACUACAUAAUGUAUGGAUAAUCUCACAUACUGGUAAUGUGGUUUAAGUGGUACAUUGUCCUAAUGAAUUCUUCUUCUCUUUUGCAGGUCUAAGCCAGCCACAGUGAAGCCACAAACACACUUCAUAAUUCCUGUAUCUCUAUAAUACAUUAAUUAAUAAUAAUAAUAAAAAUAUCUUAUGGAAUUUUGCCUCUUUGUUGCCAUCUCUGUUUGAAAACCUGCAAUUGCAGCUGUGUGCGGAAUUAUCUUCCUUGUGUGGGUUGUGAGUCAGCACAGCUCCGAAUCUAAUAUUUUGAGGAGUUUGUGUGGCAGUCAAAUCACUGCAUCGGUGUGGAUAUUGUACUUUGCAUUCUAUCCUACAUCUUGGAAUAUAUGACCCAGAUAAGCAUUUUUCAUCGGAUAUUGUCAUCUGAACAAGUAAGUAACAAGUCUGCCACAUUUGUUCUGACCAACUGAGGAAAAAAGCAUUACAA